ACGGGUGAGUAACGCGUGGGAACCUACCCAGAACUUCGGAAUAACACAUGGAAACGUGUGCUAAUACCGGAUACGCCCUACGGGGGAAAGAUUUAUCGGUUUUGGAUGGGCCCGCGUAAGAUUAGCUAGUUGGUGAGGUGAUGGCUCACCAAGGCGGCGAUCUUUAGCUGGUCUGAGAGGAUGAUCAGCCACACUGGGACUGAGACACGGCCCAGACUCCUACGGGAGGCAGCAGUGGGGAAUAUUGGACAAUGGGCGCAAGCCUGAUCCAGCCAUGCCGCGUGAGUGAUGAAGGCCUUAGGGUUGUAAAGCUCUUUCAGUAGGGAAGAUAAUGACGGUACCUACAGAAGAAGCCCCGGCUAACUUCGUGCCAGCAGCCGCGGUAAUACGAAGGGGGCUAGCGUUGUUCGGAUUUACUGGGCGUAAAGCGCACGUAGGCGGAUCGUUAAGUUAGGGGUGAAAUCCUGGAGCUCAACUCCAGAACUGCCUCUAAUACUGGCGAUCUAGAGUCCGGAAGAGGUGAGUGGAACUCCUAGUGUAGAGGUGGAAUUCGUAGA
rnacentral:rRNA from 1 species